AUUGAACGCUGGCGGCAGGCCUAACACAUGCAAGUCGCGCGGAUGAAGGGAGCUUGCUCCUGGAUUCAGCGGCGGACGGGUGAGUAAUGCCUAGGAAUCUGCCUGGUAGUGGGGGAUAACGUCCGGAAACGGGCGCUAAUACCGCAUACGUCCUGAGGGAGAAAGUGGGGGAUCUUCGGACCUCACGCUAUCAGAUGAGCCUAGGUCGGAUUAGCUAGUUGGUGGGGUAAAGGCCUACCAAGGCGACGAUCCGUAACUGGUCUGAGAGGAUGAUCAGUCACACUGGAACUGAGACACGGUCCAGACUCCUACGGGAGGCAGCAGUGGGGAAUAUUGGACAAUGGGCGAAAGCCUGAUCCAGCCAUGCCGCGUGUGUGAAGAAGGUCUUCGGAUUGUAAAGCACUUUAAGUUGGGAGGAAGGGCAGUAAGUUAAUACCUUGCUGUUUUGACGUUACCAACAGAAUGAGCACCGGCUAACUUCGUG
rnacentral:rRNA from 1 species